GUGAAGCGAGACGGUGCGUUAAGCAAAUCNCAAAAACCCAGUCCCAGUUCGGAUUGCAGUCUGCAACUCGACUGCAUGAAGCUGGAAUCGCUAGUAAUCGCGGAUCAGAAUGCCGCGGUGAAUACGUUCCCGGGUCUUGUACACACCGCCCGUCACACCAUGGGAGUCGGAAAUGCCCGAAGUCAGUGACCCAACCGGAAGGAAGGAGCUGCCGAAGGUGGAGCCGGUAACUGGGGUGAAGUCGUAACAAGGUACC
rnacentral:rRNA from 1 species